UCUCUACCCAGCACUGCCACUGACUGUGCCAACCGUUUCAUCUCUUUGUGCCCCUGUGGUCCCAUCUGUAAAAUGGAGAUAAAUCCUAGCAGCCACACUAGCAGGGCUGUUGUGAAGACUAAAGGGUACGUGGGUGCAGUACAGAGGUUAACCUGUGAUCACCUCUCCUCUGAGCCUCACUAGCAGGACCCACAUUUUGAGAACAGGAGGGAAACGGAAAGCAAAGCUAAAGAGUAGGAAGCUGGUGCAGGAAGUCAGCAGACAAUGGCAGAAAGGCCUGAACUGGGGACCAAGAGAGGCAGACCUGUGUCUCUCUGAGCCUGCAUUUCUCCAUCGGUAAAGUGAGGAUGUUGGACCGGGAAAUCCAGAGGUAUCUCUGAUUCGAGGAAUUGGUGUUAGAAAGAACGAAGGGAAGGCAGGGAGGGACCAGGACAAGCCAAGAUCAGACUGUCUAUGGCCAGAAGGGGGUGACCCUGGACCAGCCUCCACUGGGAAACAGCCUGCAAUCUCUCCAGCAGGACCCCCUGAAAUUCCAUGUCCCAGAUGAGGACACCAAGCCAAGAUCACCCGGAGAGCGAGUACCAACCAGCAGCAGCAGCACCCAGAAACUGGCCCAGCUAGGGGACAAAAGCCCAAAGCCACCAUCAACGGGGGCGGGGGGCUCCUCCCCAGCACCCUUCCUCCCGGCGCUUCGCACACCUUCCCUACCGGCCCCCAGCCCAGCAGACUUCACUGGAGGCGAGCGGAGCGCGUUUUAUUGCCUUCCGUCCUGCUCCAUACUAAAUCUUGUGGCGAUGCUUCUAAAAGUCAAUAAAACGAGAAGGAACCUGCGAUAAAAUUAAGACUGGAGUCACAGCCCUAAGGGCAGCACUGACCCCGCUCACUGAUGAUCACUGAGCACUCACUGUGUUCCAGGAAUCCUUGGAAGCGCUCUGCGUUUACUUUCAUGUCAGCCCUCCCAUCCGUGUCGGGAGAUAGGCACCGCUAUCACAGCCCCAGCCUGCAGAUGGGAAGCAUUACUGCUUUGCCUUAAUCCUGACAGCAGCCGGGUGUCCCAGCCGAGUGAGGCU
rnacentral:lncRNA from 1 species